CGGGAGGCAGCAGUAGGGAAUCUUCCACAAUGGACGAAAGUCUGAUGGAGCAACGCCGCGUGAGUGAUGAAGGUUUUCGGAUCGUAAAACUCUGUUGUUAAAGAAGAACAAGUGUUAGAGUAACUGUUAACACUUUGACGGUAUUUAACCAGAAAGCCACGGCUAACUACGUGCCAGCAGCCGCGGUAAUACGUAGGUGGCAAGCGUUGUCCGGAUUUAUUGGGCGUAAAGCGAGCGCAGGCGGUUUUGUAAGUCUGCUGUGAAAGCCCUCAGCUCAACUGAGGAAGUGCAGUGGAAACUACAAAACUUGAGUACAGAAGAGGAAAGUGGAACUCCAUGUGUAGCGGUGAAAUGCGUAGAUAUAUGGAAGAACACCAGUGGCGAAGGCGGCUUUCUGGUCUGUUACUGACGCUGAGGCUCGAAAGCAUGGGUAGCGAACAGGAUUAGAUACCCUGGUAGUCCAUGCCGUAAACGAUGAAUACUAGGUGUUGGAGGGUUUCCGCCCUUCAGUGCCGCAGCUAACGCAUUAAGUAUUCCGCCUGGGGAGUACGACCGCAAGGUUGAAACUCAAAGGAAUUGACGGGGGCCCGCACAAGUGGUGGAGCAUGUGGUUUAAUUCGAUGCUACGCGAAGAACCUUACCAGCUCUUGACAUCUUCUGCCAACCCAAGAGAUUGGGCGUUCCCUUCGGGGACAGAAUGACAGGUGGUGCAUGGUUGUCGUCAGCUCGUGUCGUGAGAUGUUGGGUUAAGUCCCGCAACGAGCGCAACCCUUAUUAUUAGUUGCCAGCAUUUAGUUGGGCACUCUAGUGAGACUGCCGGUGAUAAACCGGAGGAAGGUGGGGACGACGUCAAAUCAUCAUGCCCCUUAUGAGCUGGGCUACACACGUGCUACAAUGGAUGGUACAACGAGUCGCGAAACCGCGAGGUCAAGCUAAUCUCUUAAAGCCAUUCUCAGUUCGGAUUGCAGGCUGCAACUCGCCUGCAUGAAGUUGGAAUCACUAGUAAUCGUGGAUCAGCAUGCCACGGUGAAUACGUUCCCGGGCCUUGUACACACC
rnacentral:rRNA from 2 species